AGAGUUUGAUCCUGGCUCAGGAUGAACGCUAGCUACAGGCUUAACACAUGCAAGUCGAGGGGCAGCAUGGUCUUAGCUUGCUAAGGCCGAUGGCGACCGGCGCACGGGUGAGUAACACGUAUCCAACCUGCCGUCUACUCUUGGACAGCCUUCUGAAAGGAAGAUUAAUACAAGAUGGCAUCAUGAGUCCGCAUGUUCACAUGAUUAAAGGUAUUCCGGUAGACGAUGGGGAUGCGUUCCAUUAGAUAGUAGGCGGGGUAACGGCCCACCUAGUCUUCGAUGGAUAGGGGUUCUGAGAGGAAGGUCCCCCACAUUGGAACUGAGACACGGUCCAAACUCCUACGGGAGGCAGCAGUGAGGAAUAUUGGUCAAUGGGCGCAGGCCUGAACCAGCCAAGUAGCGUGAAGGAUGACUGCCCUAUGGGUUGUAAACUUCUUUUAUAAAGGAAUAAAGUCGGGUAUGUAUACCCGUUUGCAUGUACUUUAUGAAUAAGGAUCGGCUAACUCCGUGCCAGCAGCCGCGGUAAUACGGAGGAUCCGAGCGUUAUCCGGAUUUAUUGGGUUUAAAGGGAGCGUAGAUGGAUGUUUAAGUCAGUUGUGAAAGUUUGCGGCUCAACCGUAAAAUUGCAGUUGAUACUGGAUAUCUUGAGUGCAGUUGAGGCAGGCGGAAUUCGUGGUGUAGCGGUGAAAUGCUUAGAUAUCACGAAGAACUCCGAUUGCGAAGGCAGCCUGCUAAGCUGCAACUGACAUUGAGGCUCGAAAGUGUGGGUAUCAAACAGGAUUAGAUACCCUGGUAGUCCACACGGUAAACGAUGAAUACUCGCUGUUUGCGAUAUACGGCAAGCGGCCAAGCGAAAGCGUUAAGUAUUCCACCUGGGGAGUACGCCGGCAACGGUGAAACUCAAAGGAAUUGACGGGGGCCCGCACAAGCGGAGGAACAUGUGGUUUAA
rnacentral:rRNA from 1 species